CUGACUGUAGCUUAAUCGGUAGAGCGUUCGGUUGAAGCCCGGAAUGCAGUGGUUCGAAUCCACUCAGUCGGA
rnacentral:tRNA from 1 species